GAUGAACGCUGGCGGCGUGCCUAACACAUGCAAGUCGAGCGAAGCGCUUAAAUUAGAUUUCUUCGGAAUGACGAUUUUUGUGACUGAGCGGCGGACGGGUGAGUAACGCGUGGGUAACCUGCCUCAUACAGGGGGAUAACAGUUAGAAAUGACUGCUAAUACCGCAUAAGACCCCAGCUUCGCAUGAAGCGGUGGUAAAAACUCCGGUGGUAUGAGAUGGACCCGCGUCUGAUUAGCUAGUUGGUAAGGUAACGGCUUACCAAGGCGACGAUCAGUAGCCGACCUGAGAGGGUGACCGGCCACAUUGGGACUGAGACACGGCCCAGACUCCUACGGGAGGCAGCAGUGGGGAAUAUUGCACAAUGGGGGAAACCCUGAUGCGGCGACGCCGCGUGAAGGAUGAAGUAUUUCGGUAUGUAAACUUCUAUCAGCAGGGAAGAAAGUGACGGUACCUGACUAAGAAGCCCCGGCUAACUACGUG
rnacentral:rRNA from 1 species